UGUGUACUCCCUCCGUUCCAAAAUACUUGACAACCAUUUGUCCAAAAAUGGAUGUACCUAUAUACUAAAACAUGUCUAGAUACAUCUAUAUUUUGACAAAUAGAAGGCAUGUAUUGUGGAACGGAGGGAGUAGAAU
rfam:Triticum aestivum genome assembly, contig: Triticum_aestivum_CS42_TGACv1_scaffold_220632_3B